rnacentral:rRNA from 1 species
AUUGAACGGUGGCGGCCGGCCUAACACAUGCAAGUCGAGCGAUCGGCGGACGGGGGAGUAAUAUCGUGGAAGAUGCCGGAUGGAGGGGGGUAACUACUUGUAACGGUAGCUAAUACCGCAUACCAUCAUCUGUUGCGAGGUGGGAUUAGCUGGUAGGUGGGGUAACGGCUGACCUAGGCGACGAUCCCUAGCUGGUCUGAGAGGAUGACCAGCCACACUGGAACUGAGACACGGUCCAGACUCCUACGGGAGGCAGCAGUGGGGAAUAUUCGGGAAUGGGCGCAAGCCUGAUCGGGCCAUGCCGCGUGUAUGAAGAAGGCUUUCGGGUCGUAAAGCACUUUUAGCGGGGAAGCGUUACCCAACGAAGAAGCAACGGCUAACUCCGUGCCAGCAGCCGCGGUAAUAC